GGUAGCUCAGUGGUAGAGUGCUUGCCUUGCAUGCAUGAGGCCCUGGGUUCGAUUCCUCAGUACCA
rfam:Dipodomys ordii contig_5924, whole genome shotgun sequence.